GAUGAACGCUGGCGGCGUGCCUAAUACAUGCAAGUCGAGCGAACAGACGAGGAGCUUGCUCCUCUGACGUUAGCGGCGGACGGGUGAGUAACACGUGGAUAACCUACCUAUAGACUGGGAUAACUUCGGGAAACCGGAGCUAAUACCGGAUAAUAUAUUGAACCGCAUGGUUCAAUAGUGAAAGACGGUUUUGCUGCCACUUAUAGAUGGAUCCGCGCCGCAUUAGCUAGUUGGUAAGGUAACGGCUUACCAAGGCAACGAUGCGUAGCCGACCUGAGAGGGUGAUCGGCCACACUGGAACUGAGACACGGUCCAGACUCCUACGGGAGGCAGCAGUAGGGAAUCUUCCGCAAUGGGCGAAAGCCUGACGGAGCAACGCCGCGUGAGUGAUGAAGGUCUUCGGAUCGUAAAACUCUGUUAUUAGGGAAGAACAAAUGUGUAAGUAACUAUGCACGUCUUGACGGUACCUAAUCAGAAAGCCACGGCUAACUACGUG
rnacentral:rRNA from 1 species